ACAACGAACAAAGCAAAGCUGUAUUUUAUGAAGCACUGAAGAAAUAUGAACCUUUCCUUGUUAAAGAACUGGAGGGGAAAUACAGGAGGCAAGAUGGUGACGUUGUUGAAGACAUGAGGAAGAAGCCGAAUGAAAAUCCGUCAUUGGACCAGCAGUUUGAUGGCCCACAGAGAGUGGACAAUGAAACUCGCACCAAACUUAAAGAACGAUGGCUGAA